AACCACAAUGUCACACUCAACGUUCCAACGUCUCGAGGCGGACCUUCACGGAGUUCUGGAAAAGGCAAGGGAGAUGAUCUGAAACCAGUGAUUACAUGGGCUGAAGGUCAAGUCAGUAAUAUUCUUGUACAGGGUGCUAAAGGAAACAUUACUCCGGACGAGGCCCUAGCAAAACUGAAGAGUAUUGUUGGUGUGCACAGUUCGGCGACAGACUCCUUUAAGAAGCUGGUUCUGGAAGGACUGGAAAGGUUGACAAGCUCCAUGACGAAGGACGACCAGAACCUUUGUCUGGACCCUUCAGGACCCACCUGAGUCUCUCGCUCGUAACAUUACUGAGCAUAUGAUAAACUUCAUGAAGUUCUUCGAGCAGUAGCGAAUCAAACAGUUAUGUAUGAUGUUGAUAUCUUAGCACACAAUAAAUCCAUGUUAUGAG
rnacentral:lncRNA from 1 species